rnacentral:RNase_P_RNA from 1 species
CGAGCGUGCCGGACGACCGCGGGCAGCGAUCACAUCGCGGCCUGAGGAAAGUCCGGGCUCCGCAGGGUACGGGUGCCAGCUAACGGCUGGUCGGGGCAACUCGAAGGAAAGUGCCACAGAAACAAACCGCCGUUGCGUCUUCGGGCGCGCGGUAAGGGUGAAAUGGUGCGGUAAGAGCGCACCGGCGGUGCCGGAAGGCAUCGGCCGGGCAAACCCCACCCGGAGCAAGACCGUUGGGAUCGCUGGCAACAGCGCAGGCGGCCCGCCUGAUCCCACAGCACGUCGCACGAGACGUCCGGCGACGGACGUCCACAGAGAGAUGGUCGUCGCCGCUAACGCAGCGGUACAGAAUCCGGCUUACAGGCACGUCUCGGCAU